rnacentral:rRNA from 1 species
GACGAACGCUGGCGGCGUGCUUAACACAUGCAAGUCGAACGGAAAGGCCCUGCUUUUGUGGGGGGCUCGAGUGGCGAACGGGUGAGUAACACGUGAGUAACCUGCCCUUGACUUUGGGAUAACUUCAGGAAACUGGGGCUAAUACCGGAUAGGAGCUCCCGCUGCAUGGUGGGGGUUGGAAAGGUUCGGCGGUUGGGGAUGGACUCGCGGCUUAUCAGCUUGUUGGUGGGGUAGUGGCUUACCAAGGCUUUGACGGGUAGCCGGCCUGAGAGGGUGACCGGCCACAUUGGGACUGAGAGACGGCGCAGACUCCUACGGGAGGCAGCAGUGGGGAAUAUUGCACAAUGGGCGGAAGCCUGAUGCAGCAACGCCGCGUGCGGGAUGACGGCCUUCGGGUGGUAAACCGCUUUCGCCUGUGACGAAGCGUGAGUGACGGUAAUGGGUAAAGAAGCACCGGCUAACUACGUG